GUCAAUUACUGCAGGGCCCCGCCCACUCUGGCGCGCGCACCGUCACGUCGCUCACCUGUAGCACCUCGUGCAGGUGCAGCAAAUCUGCAGCAAACUGCUCCGCUGUCUUCGGUAAAACGAUUAUUGCUGCCGCACUUCUUUAACGUCUGUAAUAGAACAAGUCCCGGAGACUGCGUGACCUCAGCAUUGUGUCUGGAACGAACCGGAAAUGGAGUCUCCUCGUGAACGUUGUUUUGGACCGGAUUAGCAUCAAAGCUAGGUCGCCCCCCCUGUGAUGCCCUGGCUUCACCUCGACAGGCGUGCUCAAUACAAAAAUCUGCUGAAUGUUUCCUCUGUCUUCGACGGCUGCCUCACACACUGAUUCCCGGUCCCUGGAGGAGCAGUGUGGGAAGGUCACACAACUCAUCAUCUUCGCCUUAAUGAACAAAUGAGAAGUCUUGCGCCCUUUAAGGCAAUUUUGUGUGGCACACUCAGGCAGUUAAUGCAUACAUGAAAAGCGGGAAGCAGGGAAAGAUGAGCAACGAUGGCGACGACAGGGAAACAAGAGGAGUCGGAGUGGAGGGGCUAAAAGGAGAGACACGGCUUUCAAGCUUCAUCACCUUUCCAGGUGUCUCUGUCUGCAUGAUUUCAUCUCUGAACUGCAAUCAACUUUCCUAAUGAAAUAAAUACUCAGACGAAGCGCGGACGGAGAACGGCUGACGUCUCCGAGGUGACGGGUGGAACCAGAGGUGCCGCUGCUUCAGCAGCGCUUGAAGAACCAAGCACAGACAGGAUGGUUGGACCAGGGACCGGACACAGACGGGAUGGUUGGACAUGGGACCGGACGCAGACGGGAUGGUUGGACAUGGGACCGGACACAGACGGGAUGGUUGGACAUGGGACCGGACACAGACGGGAUGGUUGGACCAGGGACUGCCCAUCACCAACAUAAGCACCGGCAAGAGUCGGAUAUCUCUCGGUGAAGACAGAGUGGAGGAGAGGGAGAACCACAACUACAGCCAAUCUCGUGCGUUCGCUCUCGAUACCGAGCGAAAGGAGGUGGCGGUGCAUUUAUAGGAGAGAAAACGGAUCUCCCAAGUUAUUUCGGCAUGAACGCAGAGCACACGCAGCCUCUUCACCUGCGUCACAGUCCAGCCCACAUGGUGCAUUCAUGAAGCCGAGUCCUGAAGAAUUACUGUGACGCUCUGCUCACACAGAUGCAGGAAAAUGGGGAAAUGUUAUUCCAGAUGAAUGUGCUUUUACGAAGAUGGGAGCAGAAGAUCUCAUCUUGCUGAACGGACACUAGAGUCGAGGAGGAGGUUCCUGCUCUGCGGGCGAACCUUGGGCGGUGUGGCGGUGGCCGGUGUGUUGAUGGACCGCUGGGACUUCAGGUGUUGCGGCGGUGCCAUGGAUGUUUGACGAACCGGAUGCACGGUUGUGGGAGGCGUGGCCAACGAGGCGGGCGUGCCGGUGCCGGUGGCCGUCUGAGAUGCGACUCCCAUCAGAUGCUGCUGCUGUAGCGACUCCUGGGAGGCGAGAGGAGACGACAGAAAGGAAACAGUCAUCAUUAAAAAAUUUUUUUUUAAAAAGUACCGUAGUUAGACGUAAAACGAUGGAUGAUGCCGCAUACUGUAUGAAUGGUGUGGUCCAAAUUGAAUUCAAUUAAAGCACCUGUCAAACAAAGUCUUCAUUACACCA